rnacentral:rRNA from 1 species
GUAGGUGGCAAGCGUUGUCCGGAAUUAUUGGGCGUAAAGCGCGCGCAGGCGGUUCUUUAAGUCUGAUGUGAAAGCCCACGGCUCAACCGUGGAGGGUCAUUGGAGACUGGAGAACUUGAGUACAGAAGAGGAAAGCGGAAUUCCACGUGUAGCGGUGAAAUGCGUAGAGAUGUGGAGGAACACCAGUGGCGAAGGCGGCUUUCUGGUCUGUAACUGACGCUGAGGCGCGAAAGCGUGGGGGAGCAAACAGGAUUAGAUACCCGUGGUAGUCCACGCCGUAAACGAUGAGUGCUAAGUGUUAGGGGGUUUUCCGCCCCUUAGUGCUGCAGCUAACGCAUUAAGCACUCCCGCCUGGGGAGCACGGCCGCAAGGCUG